GGUUAAGCGACUAAGCGUACACGGUGGAUGCCCUGGCAGUCAGAGGCGAUGAAGGACGUGCUAAUCUGCGAUAAGCGUCGGUAAGGUGAUAUGAACCGUUAUAACCGGCGAUUUCCGAAUGGGGAAACCCAGUGUGAUUCGUCACACUAUCAUUAACUGAAUCCAUAGGUUAAUGAGGCGAACCGGGGGAACUGAAACAUCUAAGUACCCCGAGGAAAAGAAAUCAACCGAGAUUCCCCCAGUAGCGGCGAGCGAACGGGGAGCAGCCCAGAGCCUGAAUCAGUGUGUGUGUUAGUGGAAGCGUCUGGAAAGGCGUGCGAUACAGGGUGACAGCCCCGUACACAAAAAUGCACAUACUGUGAGCUCGAUGAGUAGGGCGGGACACGUGGUAUCCUGUCUGAAUAUGGGGGGACCAUCCUCCAAGGCUAAAUACUCCUGACUGACCGAUAGUGAACCAGUACCGUGAGGGAAAGGCGAAAAGAACCCCGGCGAGGGGAGUGAAAAAGAACCUGAAACCGUGUACGUACAAGCAGUGGGAGCACGCUUAGGCGUGUGACUGCGUACCUUUUGUAUAAUGGGUCAGCGACUUAUAUUCUGUAGCAAGGUUAACCGAAUAGGGGAGCCGAAGGGAAACCGAGUCUUAACUGGGCGUUAAGUUGCAGGGUAUAGACCCGAAACCCGGUGAUCUAGCCAUGGGCAGGUUGAAGGUUGGGUAACACUAACUGGAGGACCGAACCGACUAAUGUUGAAAAAUUAGCGGAUGACUUGUGGCUGGGGGUGAAAGGCCAAUCAAACCGGGAGAUAGCUGGUUCUCCCCGAAAGCUAUUUAGGUAGCGCCUCGUGAAUUCAUCUCCGGGGGUAGAGCACUGUUUCGGCAAGGGGUCAUCCCGACUUACCAACCCGAUGCAAACUGCGAAUACCGGAGAAUGUUAUCACGGGAGACACACGGCGGGUGCUAACGUCCGUCGUGAAGAGGGAAACAACCCAGACCGCCAGCUAAGGUCCCAAAGUCAUGGUUAAGUGGGAAACGAUGUGGGAAGGCCCAGACAGCCAGGAUGUUGGCUUAGAAGCAGCCAUCAUUUAAAGAAAGCGUAAUAGCUCACUGGUCGAGUCGGCCUGCGCGGAAGAUGUAACGGGGCUAAACCAUGCACCGAAGCUGCGGCAGCGACGCUUAUGCGUUGUUGGGUAGGGGAGCGUUCUGUAAGCCUGUGAAGGUGUGCUGUGAGGUAUGCUGGAGGUAUCAGAAGUGCGAAUGCUGACAUAAGUAACGAUAAAGCGGGUGAAAAGCCCGCUCGCCGGAAGACCAAGGGUUCCUGUCCAACGUUAAUCGGGGCAGGGUGAGUCGACCCCUAAGGCGAGGCCGAAAGGCGUAGUCGAUGGGAAACAGGUUAAUAUUCCUGUACUUGGUGUUACUGCGAAGGGGGACGGAGAAGGCUAUGUUGGCCGGGCGACGGUUGUCCCGGUUUAAGCGUGUAGGCUGGUUUUCCAGGCAAAUCCGGAAAAUCAAGGCCGAGGCGUGAUGACGAGGCACUACGGUGCUGAAGCAACAAAUGCCCUGCUUCCAGGAAAAGCCUCUAAGCAUCAGGUAACAUCAAAUCGUACCCCAAACCGACACAGGUGGUCAGGUAGAGAAUACCAAGGCGCUUGAGAGAACUCGGGUGAAGGAACUAGGCAAAAUGGUGCCGUAACUUCGGGAGAAGGCACGCUGAUACGUAGGUGAAGCGACUUGCUCGUGGAGCUGAAAUCAGUCGAAGAUACCAGCUGGCUGCAACUGUUUAUUAAAAACACAGCACUGUGCAAACACGAAAGUGGACGUAUACGGUGUGACGCCUGCCCGGUGCCGGAAGGUUAAUUGAUGGGGUUAGCGCAAGCGAAGCUCUUGAUCGAAGCCCCGGUAAACGGCGGCCGUAACUAUAACGGUCCUAAGGUAGCGAAAUUCCUUGUCGGGUAAGUUCCGACCUGCACGAAUGGCGUAAUGAUGGCCAGGCUGUCUCCACCCGAGACUCAGUGAAAUUGAACUCGCUGUGAAGAUGCAGUGUACCCGCGGCAAGACGGAAAGACCCCGUGAACCUUUACUAUAGCUUGACACUGAACAUUGAGCCUUGAUGUGUAGGAUAGGUGGGAGGCUUUGAAGUGUGGACGCCAGUCUGCAUGGAGCCGACCUUGAAAUACCACCCUUUAAUGUUUGAUGUUCUAACGUGGACCCGUGAUCCGGGUUGCGGACAGUGUCUGGUGGGUAGUUUGACUGGGGCGGUCUCCUCCUAAAGAGUAACGGAGGAGCACGAAGGUUGGCUAAUCCUGGUCGGACAUCAGGAGGUUAGUGCAAUGGCAUAAGCCAGCUUGACUGCGAGCGUGACGGCGCGAGCAGGUGCGAAAGCAGGUCAUAGUGAUCCGGUGGUUCUGAAUGGAAGGGCCAUCGCUCAACGGAUAAAAGGUACUCCGGGGAUAACAGGCUGAUACCGCCCAAGAGUUCAUAUCGACGGCGGUGUUUGGCACCUCGAUGUCGGCUCAUCACAUCCUGGGGCUGAAGUAGGUCCCAAGGGUAUGGCUGUUCGCCAUUUAAAGUGGUACGCGAGCUGGGUUUAGAACGUCGUGAGACAGUUCGGUCCCUAUCUGCCGUGGGCGCUGGAGAACUGAGGGGGCUGCUCCUAGUACGAGAGGACCGGAGUGGACGCAUCACUGGUGUUCGGGUUGUCAUGCCAAUGGCACUGCCCGGUAGCUAAAUGCGGAAGAGAUAAGUGCUGAAAGCAUCUAAGCACGAAACUUGCCCCGAGAUGAGUUCUCCCUGACCCUUUAAGGGUCCUGAAGGAACGUUGAAGACGACGACGUUGAUAGGCCGGGUGUGUAAGCGCAGCGAUGCGUUGAGCUAACCGGUACUAAUGAACCGUGAGGCUUAACCUU
rnacentral:rRNA from 1 species